rnacentral:lncRNA from 1 species
GGCCAGGAGGCUGCAGAACAUGUGUCUCCCCCUCCCUCCAAGAGGUCCUGCUCCCUCUGCCAGAACCGUGUGUGGGCGGGUGGGAGGGCGCUCGGGCGCUCCCUCUCCCUGCUGGUUUUAGUUGGUCCCUAUGUUGGAAGUAAAAGUGAAGCACUUUAUUUUGGUUGUGUUUGCUCACGUUCUGCUUGGAAGUGGGGACCCCUCACUGCGUCCACGUGUCUGCGACCGGUGUGGAGUGUCACCGCGUGUACAUACUAGCCCGGGCGGAGCAGUGGUGCUGCAGAGGAGGCUGCUGUCCACGUCACUGUGGGACCAGGUUUAUUGCCAGCUGUGAUCACAUUUCAUCUGUAAAAACUACUCAGUGAAUCAGGAAGAAAUUCAGGCCCCGCCCCAUCCUGUCUCACUGAUGUGUUGCCGAGAACUCCUGGAGUUCUUGUUUAGCUAACCAGAAUGUGCAAGGCUAUAGGACAGGAGAGAAAUGGCCUUUAAAACAAAUGAAUGAGAGUCACGAUGAAGGGGGCAGACUGGGGGGUGAAAAUCAUUACCAGAACACUUGGGCAGAGACCCGUCAGAGCCAGGCAGGAGACAGUCAUCAGAGCUGUGCCAGCAAGUGGCAUGGAGCAGGGGUGGCACUUGGGCUCGGGCUGCAGGCAAACUUGGCGUCAAAACUGGCUCAACCCGUCGCGAGCUGUGUGGUCUCCUUGGGAUUUUUUGAGCCUUAGAUUCCUUAUUUGUAAAAUGGAUUUGUGAGUCUCCACCUCCCGAGGUCAGUAUGGAAAUCCAGUGAGCUAACGCUCGUCAAUGGCCUCG